UGGUUUACAUACCCCACGGCCCCGUCAGGAAGAACCCUCAACAAAGUGUCAUGUUGAAGGAGUAAUAAUUCAUACAAUUUACUAAAUCAGCAAAUUCAUAUGAUAUUGUACAAACGUACUUAUACAAAAUUCUACGACUUUUACUCUUACUGCUGUCAUUGGCCUUUGCCUCAACUCUCAUGCAGAUUGUGCCCAUUGUAAGUAGUCAGAGUGUUUGUAUCACAAAGUUUUAUUAAGUCCAGUGUAUUCUUUAUUAAUCUUUACAAAUUGGCGCCGUCUCUUCCCGUUCUAACAGUACAUGAUAUCUGUCCACACCCACACCUGAUUUUUAUUGAACACUUCUGUCUAAGGAGCAAGAGUCUGGAAAUGCUAGUUUAACUUCUCAUGUGACAAAUCAGAUCUUCAAUUAAUUUGGCCAAAUCAAAUCACAUAAAGCUGUUCACACCAAGAACAAGAAAUUUAAUAUUAAAUAUUUUAGCAUCCACAACAGACGAUAAUGGUCUGUUUACUGUUAUACACACUGCAGUUACAGUAUGUUGUUGAUGUCUGCUAUUUUUCAGCUUGAAAAAGUUGUCCUGGAAGAGAUUCCAACGGUAUUGUUCCUCUGAAAUAGCUGCGGUGUGGACUCGUCUUUGGUGUGAAGAGGCCUUUAAAUUGCUUACAACAAUACUGGCAACAUCUGAAGACCAAAAUCAGUCACAGCAAGCCGGUCAAACCAGUCCUGAUGAAUGAGGAAUGAACAUGGUCUUCUUGUGCUCAAACAGAAAAGACAGAGCUGGAAAGUUGCACAUUUCCAUUGGUAUGUCUGUAUUCAAUGUAGAAUGAUCAAAUCAGCUGUGCAUCAUCUUUGGAAUUUGGGCAGGAAAUGACUGAAUAUGAGGAUGAAGCCAGUUAAUGAAUAUAUCACUUCAAUAGCCACCAAGUGCAGAAGUGCUGCCUGAACCCAUCAGGUAUCUGCUGUGAAGACUGCAUUCACGAACAGCUCUACUGCAGAUGUUACAGCCUAUAAAAUAAACUUCACAACUGAACAACUGCAAGAUAGCGGUGGAGGGAUUCUUUUGGCCCAUACCUCCAACAACCUCCAACAAGAAUCAAUGGACAUCUACACCAGGUGUUGUGUGAGGAGGACAGUCAGAGACUCCAGCCACCCGAGCCAUAGAUUGCUCUCACCGUUACCAUCAGGCAGAUGUUAUUGCAGAACCUUCACCAGCAGACAAGUUCUUUCCACAGACAAUCAGACUGAACUGAACUCGUACCAGUAACACCACACACAGCACACCAACCUCUUAUGCACUGCACUCUAUCACUUACACUGACUGGACUCCGACUCACUAUUAUUCUGCACCCUGACAUUAUGUGUGCACUAAUUCAUACCGUAUUUCACUGCAAAGAUAUAUGUGUACUGUGAUUAUUGUGUUUAAUCACAAUAAUCAGUUGUGUUAUUGUUUUCAUUUCAUACUCUCUGUAUAGUAUAAUAUUUAUCAUAUGUUGUUCUCUACCUGUAUUGAGUCCCUUACACAUAUGUGUUGCAUAUUGUUCAAAAGACUUUC